UACGUAGGGUGCAAGCGUUGUCCGGAAUUAUUGGGCGUAAAGAGCUCGUAGGCGGUUUGUCGCGUCUGCUGUGAAAACUGGGGGCUCAACCCCCAGCCUGCAGUGGGUACGGGCAGACUAGAGUGCGGUAGGGGAGAUUGGAAUUCCUGGUGUAGCGGUGGAAUGCGCAGAUAUCAGGAGGAACACCGGUGGCGAAGGCGGAUCUCUGGGCCGACACUGACGCUGAGGAGCGAAAGCGUGGGGAGCGAACAGG
rnacentral:rRNA from 1 species